AACGGGUGAGUAAUAUAUCGGAACGUGCCCAGUCGUGGGGGAUAACGCAGCGAAAGCUGCGCUAAUACCGCAUGUGAUCUGUGGAUGAAAGCGGGGACUGUAAGGCCUCGCGCGAUUGGAGCGGCCGAUAUCAGAUUAGGUAGUUGGUGGGAUAAAAGCCUACCAAGCCGACGAUCUGUAGCUGGUCUGAGAGGACGACCAGCCACACUGGGACUGAGACACGGCCCAGACUCCUACGGGAGGCAGCAGUGGGGAAUUUUGGACAAUGGGCGCAAGCCUGAUCCAGCAAUGCCGCGUGCAGGACGAAGGCCUUCGGGUUGUAAACUGCUUUUGUACGGAGCGAAACGGUCUGGGAUAAUACCCUGGGCUAAUGACGGUACCGUAAGAAUAAGCACCGGCUAACUACGUGCCAGCAGCCGCGGUAAUACGUAGGGUGCGAGCGUUAAUCGGAAUUACUGGGCGUAAAGCGUGCGCAGGCGGUUUUGUAAGACAGGCGUGAAAUCCCCGGGCUCAACCUGGGAAUGGCGCUUGUGACUGC
rnacentral:rRNA from 1 species